rnacentral:rRNA from 1 species
UACGUAGGUGGCAAGCGUUGUCCGGAUUUACUGGGCGUAAAGGAUGCGUAGGCGGACAUUUAAGUCGGAUGUGAAAUACCCGAGCUUAACUUGGGUGCUGCAUUUGAAACUGGGUGUCUAGAGUGCAGGAGAGGUAAGUGGAAUUCCUAGUGUAGCGGUGAAAUGCGUAGAGAUUAGGAAGAACACCAGUGGCGAAGGCGACUUACUGGACUGUAACUGACGCUGAGGCAUGAAAGCGUGGGGAGCAAACAGG